GUUCAAUGUACCCAAUGCAUUGGAUGGAUGCCCAGGCAUUGAGAAAGAAGGACGCCUGAAGAGGCGAAAGGCCAUGGGGAGAUACCAUCUGUGAUCCAUGGAUCUCCGAUCGGGAAACCGUAUCCAAGCGCCGUGGCUAGUCUACGCUCUUUGGACUUUUAAAACUUAGCGAACUGAAACAUCUGAGUAGUUAAAGGACGGGACAUCAACCAAGACCCCGUUAGUAGCGUCGAGUGAGAGCGGAUUGAGGCAUUGAAGAAAAAGAAACACGAAGCCUACCAUGAAGCUUCGCGCUAGCAAAGCAAAGCAAUUCAAUCUUCUUUCGUCCGCAAAGCGGAACAAAGCAAAUGUGCGGAGUUGCUUAGCCUCGUUCCUCUUGCUUCGCUCAGUGCUUACGCACUUCGCUUCCUUUCCUAUUAGGCUCGUUUUGUAGAACUGCACUCAUUUAAAUGUAACUCGUUCUCGAUCGGCCUAACAAACUAGAUUUCGUAGGCUCUUAUUAAGCUCGCGUAACUCGUUUUCAUUGGUUUCAUUCGAUUUGUUGUGGAAUGGAUGAUGGAAAAACCAUUGGCCCGAGAAUUGUGAAAAGGUUGGAAGAUCUGGCCAAAGAAGGUGAGAGCCUUGUAGAUUCAUUCCCAUGGUUUGAUCCUUCCAAGUAAAACACGGCAUGUUCGAAUUCUGAUCGCUUUUAUGCGAGAAAGGGGGACCACCCUCUAAGCUUAAGUCUUCCUCAAUGACCGAUAGUGUACAAGUACCAUGAGGGAAAGGUGAAAAGAACCCUAUUUAGGGAGUGCAAUAGAGAACUUGAGAUCUGAUGCAUACAAUCAGUCGAAGGAGCAGAGCUUAGAGCCAAACGACGGGCAAACUCACUCUAACGACGUACCAAUCGCAUGAUGGGUCAGCAAGGAAAUGGGAACAGCAGCUUAAGCCAUUAGGUGUAGGCGCUUUCCAGAGGUUGAAUCUUCUAAUUGUUCUUAUUUGACCAAAAACCGAUCGAUUUAACCAUGAGCAGGUUGAAGAGAGCUCUAAUAGGCCUUGGAGGACCGAACCCACGUAUAUGGAAAAAUACGGGGAUGACCUGUGGCUAGGGGUGAAAGGCCAACCAAGAUCGGAUAUAGCUGGUUUUCUACGAAAUCUAUUUCAGUAGAGCGUAUGAUGUCGAUGGCCUGAGAUAGAGCAGUCAAUGGGCUAGGGUGGCCCCCAAAAAGCUUGACCAACUUCAGGGAAACUCUGAAGACAGGCCUAGAUCAUUUGUACCGACAGACUCUUUGGGUGCUAAGAUCCAAAGGUGAGCGGGAAACAACCCAGAUCGUAUGCUAAGGUCCCUAAGUAAUCACUUAGUGGAAAAGGAAGUGAUCGAGCGAUGACAAUCAAGAGGUGGCCUUGGAAGAAGCCAUCCUUUAAAGAAAGCGUAAUAGCUCACUGGUCUAGCUCCAUGGCACCAAAAAUGUAUCAGAGCUCAUGUGAUUCACCGAAGCGACAAGACCUUGAAAGCAUUUUCAAGUGUCAGUAGCGGGACGUUCUAUCAAUCGAGGAAGGUUUUUGGUGACAACACCUGGAGAUAUCAGAAGUGAGAAUGCUGACAUGAGUAACGAGAAAUUCUGUGAAAAACACUAUCGCCUAUCAGUUCAAGGCUUUCUGCAUUCAGUCAAGCUAUUCAGAGUGAAUCAGUUCCUAAGGAAGCCCCGAAAGGGCUACCAUCCAAUGGGUAUAAGAGAGUGAUGAGGUUGCUUUGACUGUAACCAUGCCUAUCUGUUGGAGCGAAUUGGAUGAUAGGGCAGAGGGCUGCCCCCUCUUCCCCUCGCUGUCCUUUCCCUAAGAUGAACCUUUAGUCAAAAAAGCCUUCUUGACUCGAACAUGCCUGGACCCCCAAGCUACUGACACUUCAAAAGGUGAAACUCUCGUUGUAGUUUGACGACCUAAGAACAAAGAAGUCAGCUGUUUAGGUAGUGGCAUGGCAAGCAAGGAGCAAAGCCAGUGGUAGCAAUGUCAAAUCACUCAUUGUUGAGGGUGAGUUUGCUUUUAGAAAAAGCGAUUGUUGAAGAAACGAAGAAAACUACACCAAGCAACCAAGCAAUGGGAGAGUGCACUAGCACAUCUGUUUUCUUGCUACGCGCUAGCGUGAAAGCCGUUUCGCGGUAGUGCAUACAUUUUCUUGCUAGGAAAAAAACAAACCAACGAAUGCAAGCAAGAAAACGGAAUCACGGCACGUUAGCACCCUUGCUUCUUGUAAGAAAAUAGAUGCUCUAGCAGCGCUAUGCAUUAGCGCCCUUGCUUCCUGCUUUCGAACCUACGCUUGCUGGCUUUUUUCUCUUGUAAAGCACUCUCUCAUUAGAGCGAGUGCUUUGAUGUUACUUCACACUGGGUCAUAGCUUUUGGGCAAAAGCCAAAAGGGCUCUUGACUACUUGGGCUUUGACAAGACUUAGCUAACCUAAUGACUGAACUCACGCAGCAAAAAAGGCUCUUUACUAUGUACUUAGUUUAGUUGGGCUUUGAUGU
rnacentral:rRNA from 1 species